UGGGGGAUAUUGCACAAUGGGCGCAAGCCUGAUGCAGCGACGCCGCGUGGGGGAUGAAGGCCUUCGGGUUGUAAACUUCUUUUGCUCUGAACAAGGCGCACUUUGGGGUGUGUUGAGUGUAGGGGUUGAUUAGCGCCGGCUAACUACGUGCCAGCAGCCGCGGUAAUACGUGGGGCGCGAGCGUUGUCCGGAAUUAUUGGGCGUAAAGGGCUUGUAGGUGGCUGGUUGCGUCUGUCGUGAAAGCUCAUGGCUUAACUGUGGGUUUGCGGUGGGUACGGGCUGGCUUGAGUGCAGUAGGGGAGGCUGGAAUUCCUGGUGUAGCGGUGGAAUGCGCAGAUAUCAGGAGGAAUACCGGUGGCGAAGGCGGGUCUCUGGGCUGUUACUGACACUGAGGAGCGAAAGCAUGGGGAGCGAACAGG
rnacentral:rRNA from 1 species